AUUGAACGCUGGCGGCAUGCCUUACACAUGCAAGUCGAACGGUAACAGGUCUUCGGAUGCUGACGAGUGGCGAACGGGUGAGUAAUACAUCGGAACGUGCCUAGUAGUGGGGGAUAACUACUCGAAAGAGUGUCUAAUACCGCAUGAGAUCUACGGAUGAAAGCAGGGGAUCGCAAGACCUUGUGCUACUAGAGCGGCCGAUGGCAGAUUAGGUAGUUGGUGGGAUAAAAGCUUACCAAGCCGACGAUCUGUAGCUGGUCUGAGAAGACGAUCAGCCAAAAUGGGCAUGAGACACGGCCCAGACUCCUACGGGAGGCAGCAGUGGGGAAUUUUGGACAAUGGGCGCAAGCCUGAUCCAGCAAUGCCGCGUGCAGGAUGAAGGCCUUCGGGUUGUAAACUGCUUUUGUACGGAACGAAAAGCCCUGGGUUAAUACCCUGGGGUCAUGACGGUACCGUAAGAAUAAGCACCGGCUAACUACGUGCCAGCCGCCGCCGUAAGAC
rnacentral:rRNA from 1 species